UCAAGUGACUGCGACUUUUUAAUUAUGUCAGAAAGCGCAGAGUUACUAUCUCUUGCGCAAGAUAGUGAGUCGCGCACAACUUAUAUAUAAAAAAAACAAAAAAACAAAAAAAACAACAAAACAUCCAUGUCAUGCCAGGGCCCCUUACUCUAUUUUAAGUGUGCCACACUGGCUUCCUGCCAUUUUGUCAUUUACAUGGAUCCUCUCCGCCAUUACGUAUUUUUUGGUUGUUGUUUUGUCUCUCUUUUUCUUUUUUUUUUCUCUUUUCUUUUUUCUUUUUUUUUUUUCCUCUCACCAUAUUGGUUGGUUGUCUGACACAAUCAAUCAUCAAGUGUAUGCCAAUGAACCCGCCUCUUCACCUCUGGGGCAGACAUUUUGAGGUUCUUAUCUAGCGCGAUUGAGCUUCAACAACAAAGGAUGAUAAUUUUCAAUAGUUUGCAUCUUUAAAGGUCACAUUGCUUCAUUGUUCAAUUAAGAAUUCUCAAUGACCCAUCCUCAAGGAUUGUUUUCUUUCUCAACAUUUGGGAGGUCCAGGAAAUUGUCAAUAAGUGCAACAGAAAUUCUGUCAUGCGUCAGGAGGCUUCAGGUCAAUACAGAUGUUGCACUCUGCACAGAAAGUGCAUAUCCAAAGGAAAGUUCCUGGGGCAUUGUGUGCAAGGACUUUGGAAUCCCCAAUCUCCUAAGUAAUAGAACAAGAAUAAAAAAUGCCUACUUGCCACAUCAGCAGGUAAUGUCAUGUCAUGUCAUUAUCCGUAACCGCUUAUCCCUUUCCAUGGGGUCGCGGGAUGUUGUUGCUGGAGCCAAUCCCAGCCUUGUCUCAGGGCGAGGGCAGGGU